UACGAAGGGGGGCUAGCGUUGCUCGGAAUCACUGGGCGUAAAGCGCACGUAGGCGGAUUGUUAAGUCAGGGGUGAAAUCCUGGAGCUCAACUCCAGAACUGCCUUUGAUACUGGCGAUCUCGAGUCCGGGAGAGGUGAGUGGAACUGCGAGUGUAGAGGUGAAAUUCGUAGAUAUUCGCAAGAACACCAGUGGCGAAGGCGGCUCACUGGCCCGAUACUGACGCUGAGGUGCGAAAGCGUGGGGAGCAAACAGG
rnacentral:rRNA from 1 species